rnacentral:piRNA from 1 species
UACCUUCUACAGUAGCAAAUAAACUCAAAUG